rnacentral:miRNA from 1 species
GGAGUGGGGCCUGAGAUUCUGCAUUUCUAACAGACUCUCUGGUAAUGC